GGGGUAAAGUGACACAGAAGAUAAGGAUAGUAGUAGAGAAGUAGAAUAGUAUUUACUAAAGACUUAGUGUUUGAUUUUUAAUUAGAGGAAUGAAUUUGGAGCUAUUAACAAAGUUAUACGCUUAUGAAGAAGUGAGUUUUUAAUAAUUUUUUGAAGGAGUGGAGACUGGGUGAGCAUCUAACGGAGAAGCGAAGGGAGUUCCACAGGAAAAAGAAAGUUUACUAUAGCUAUUAAAAUGUACUAACUUGAUCAAACAAGGCAAGUAGCACCAGCUACUGUCUCCAGUUAUGACAAUUCUGUGCUUGCUCCGCAAUAGUAAUCACAAUGGUAAAGUUAAAAGGAAACUAUAGGCUAGGAAUACAAAAUUGUAUUCCCCUAGAACUAUAGCUUCUUAUAGUGUUCCCCCGUUUGAGCGACUAUCCCCGUACCCCCCAGUAGUGCAGAACCCUUCACUCACUUACCUGAGUCUGGGGCCGAGUCAGACUCUGCCUAGGCUCCUCGUUUCCAGACGUUUGGGACCUAAUGUGCAUGCGCAACGAGCACAUUAGAAUAGCCCCAUAGGAAAGCAUUGUAUAAAAUGCUUUCCUAUGGGUUUUGGGUGACGCUGGAUAUCCUAAUGCAAAGCGUGAGGAAGUCCAGCAUCAAUUAGGCGACCAAAACUUGCAACCUCCAAACAUCUCUGCAUUCCCGAGAGACUCUUGAUUACCAUCGGCUUUACUAUUACCAAUUAAACUGCUGUGUUUUAUGAAUCAUGAUUGCUGUUUUGUCUCACCUUGCCACCACUGGCAUCACCUCCAGGGUUAUCCUUGCACUGUGUUGCCAGCCAAUGCACCACUGAGCAAGUUGCCUUCUUUAAGGUUUAACCAUUGAUGUUCAAAACUACAUUGGUGUCCCCCAAUAAACAUAUGCUCAGAGAUGCAAUGCUUAACCAUAUCUUGCCUUUCUGCCACACUAAAUAGCACAUACACCGUUCUCAUUGAAUAGUGGCAGAAUGCAUGUGUUCUCGGUUAAUAUGCUCAUUUUCAUUCACGCUCUUCAUGUUUUAACAGAACAAGGGGUAGAGUCAGCGCUAAUCGGGAAGGCAGCAGUCCCAAACAAGGACUCCCUCUAAUGUCCCUGGAAAUCAAUAGUAAAAGCAAG